GCAAUGGCAUAAGCUAGCUUGACUGCGAGCGUGACGGCGCGAGCAGGUGCGAAAGCAGGUCAUAGUGAUCCGGUGGUUCUGAAUGGAAGGGCCAUCGCUCAACGGAUAAAAGGUACUCCGGGGAUAACAGGCUGAUACCGCCCAAGAGUUCAUAUCGACGGCGGUGUUUGGCACCUCGAUGUCGGCUCAUCACAUCCUGGGGCUGAAGUAGGUCCCAAGGGUAUGGCUGUUCGCCAUUUAAAGUGGUACGCGAGCUGGGUUUAGAACGUCGUGAGACAGUUCGGUCCCUAUCUGCCGUGGGCGCUGGAGAAUUGAGGGGGGCUGCUCCUAGUACGAGAGGACCGGAGUGGACGCAUCACUGGUGUUCGGGUUGUCAUGCCAAUGGCACUGCCCGGUAGCUAAAUGCGGAAGAGAUAAGUGCUGAAAGCAUCUAAGCACGAAACUUGCCCCGAGAUGAGUUCUCCCUGAGACUAUAAGUCUCCUGAAGGAACGUUGAAGACGACGACGUUGAUAGGCCGGGUGUGUAAGCGCAGCGAUGCGUUGAGCUAACCGGUACUAAUGAACCGUGAGGCUUAACCUUACAACGCCGAAG
rnacentral:rRNA from 1 species